rnacentral:rRNA from 1 species
AUGAAAUUUGGAACGGGUAUACUUAAUGAUGACGAUAUGAAUCACUUGAAAAAUAAACAUAUUCGUUCGGUUGCGGAUCUGUUACAAGAUCAAUUCGGAUUGGCUCUUGGUCGAUUACAACAUAUUUCAAAAACUAUUCAUAGAUUAUUCAUACGUCAAUCAAAACUGACUCCCCAAAGUUUGGUAACUCCAACUUCAACAUUAAUUUUAUUAAUAACUACUUAUGAGACCUUUUUUGGCACAUACCCAUUAUCUCAAGUUUUUUAUCAAACGAAUCCAUUGACACAAACUUCUUGGGCGAAAAGUGAGUUGUUUAGGUCCUGGAGGGUUGAUGGGGAGAACCACAAGUUUUCGGAGCCGAGAUAUUCAUCCGAGUCACUAUGGGCGUAUUUGUCCAAUUGA